rnacentral:lncRNA from 1 species
UGAAGUCGAUCAGAACACUCUCCCUCGUCGAUUUGAUGGAAAAACGACCUCUCGAUCGUAGUCGCUACAAAAAUCGCCUCUGACCUAGAAAACCCUAGCUUUUGGAAGAGAAGAGGAAAUGAGGAGAAACACGCGAGGCCUUCAUUUUCCGCGUCGACAUCUGAAAAAGGUCAAGCCAAUACCGUCGCGACACGUGUAGUGAACUCGCUUCACACGGGAUCACUCCAGCGGCCCGGUUCACUUAAAAUAACCCAUUUCUCAUUUUCUUUUUGGAUUAAAAUCCUGUGAAACCCGGCCCAUGAACCUCUUAUAAUCUCUUGAUGUACAUGGUCUAAGCUGCUCUGCGUUAUUACC